UUUUGGAAGAUAAGUUAUAAUUUCUAAUAUGAGAACCAAAUCUAACAACGAAUUAGAAAGCCUAGUGGAAGCAUAAUCAGUAACAGUAAGACUCGACUGACAAAUA